rnacentral:tRNA from 1 species
AAUAAGUGAGGCAAGCUGCUGAUUCGUAAGCUCAGUAGCGUUAACUGUUAAUCAGGGGGUCGUUGGUUCGAGUCCAACUUCGGGCGCCA